rnacentral:rRNA from 1 species
UAACACAUGCAAGUCGAGCGGUAGAGAGAAGCUUGCUUCUCUUGAGAGCGGCGGACGGGUGAGUAAUGCCUAGGAAUCUGCCUGGUAGUGGGGGAUAACGUUCGGAAACGGACGCUAAUACCGCAUACGUCCUACGGGAGAAAGCAGGGGACCUUCGGGCCUUGCGCUAUCAGACGAGCCUAGGUCGGAUUAGCUAGUUGGUGAGGUAAUGGCUCACCAAGGCGACGAUCCGUAACUGGUCUGAGAGGAUGAUCAGUCACACUGGAACUGAGACACGGUCCAGACUCCUACGGGAGGCAGCAGUGGGGAAUAUUGGACAAUGGGCGAAAGCCUGAUCCAGCCAUGCCGCGUGUGUGAAGAAGGUCUUCGGAUUGUAAAGCACUUUAAGUUGGGAGGAGGGGCAGUAAAUUAAUACUUUGCUGUUUUGACGUUACCGACAGAAUAAGCACCGGCUAACUCUGUGCCAGCAGCCGCGGUAAUACAGAGGGUGCAAGCGUUAAUCGGAAUUACUGGGCGUAAAGCGCGCGUAGGUGGUUUGUUAAGUUGGAUGUGAAAUCCCCGGGCUCAACCUGGGAACUGCAUUCAAAACUGACUGACUAGAGUAUGGUAGAGGGUGGUGGAAUUUCCUGUGUAGCGGUGAAAUGCGUAGAUAUAGGAAGGAACACCAGUGGCGAANGCGACCACCUGGACUAAUACUGACACUGAGGUGCGAAAGCGUGGGGAGCAAACAGGAUUAGAUACCCCUGGUAGUCCACGCCGUAAACGAUGUCAACUAGCCGUUGGAAGCCUUGAGCUUUUANUGGCGCAGCUAACGCAUUAAGUUGACCGCCUGGGGAGUACGGCCGCAAGGUUAAAACUCA